rnacentral:rRNA from 1 species
GACGAACGCUGGCGGCGUGCUUAACACAUGCAAGUCGAACGGAAAGGCCCUGCUUUUGUGGGGUGCUCGAGUGGCGAACGGGUGAGUAACACGUGAGUAACCUGUCCCUGACUUUGGGAUAACUUCAGGAAACUGGGGCUCAUACCGGAUAGGAGCUCCUGCUGCAUGGUGGGGGUUGGAAAGUUUCGGCGGUUGGGGAUGGACUCGCGGCUUAUCAGCUUGUUGGUGGGGUAGUGGCUUACCAAGGCUUUGAGGGGUAGCCGGCCUGAGAGGGUGACCGGCCCCAUUAGGACUGAGGUACGGCCCAGACUCCAACGGGAGGCAACGGGGGAGAAUAUUACACAGUAGGCGGGAGCCUGAUGCAACAACGCCGCGUGCGGGAUGACGGCCUUCGGGUUGUAAACCGCUUUCGCCUGUGACGAGGCGAGAGUGACGGUAACGGGUAAAGAAGCACCGGCUAACUACGUG